GGGCCCGUAGCUCAGCUGGAUAGAGCGUCUCCCUCCGGAGGAGAAGGCCGCGCGUUCGAAUCGCACCGGGCUCA
rnacentral:tRNA from 2 species